UGGCUGGGGGUGAAAGGCCAAUCAAACCGGGAGAUAGCUGGUUCUCCCCGAAAGCUAUUUAGGUAGCGCCUCGUGAAUUCAUCUCCGGGGGUAGAGCACUGUUUCGGCAAGGGGGUCAUCCCGACUUACCAACCCGAUGCAAACUGCGAAUACCGGAGAAUGUUAUCACGGGAGACACACGGCGGGGGCUAACGUCCGUCGUGAAGAGGGAAACAACCCAGACCGCCAGCUAAGGUCCCAAAGUCAUGGUUAAGUGGGAAACGAUGUGGGAAGGCCCAGACAGCCAGGAUGUUGGCUUAGAAGCAGCCAUCAUUUAAAGAAAGCGUAAUAGCUCACUGGUCGAGUCGGCCUGCGCGGAAGAUGUAACGGGGCUAAACCAUGCACCGAAGCUGCGGCAGCGACACUAUGUGUUGUUGGGUAGGGGAGCGUUCUGUAAGCCUGUGAAGGUGUACUGUGAGGUAUGCUGGAGGUAUCAGAAGUGCGAAUGCUGACAUAAGUAACGAUAAAGCGGGUGAAAAGCCCGCUCGCCGGAAGACCAAGGGUUCCUGUCCAACGUUAAUCGGGGCAGGGUGAGUCGACCCCUAAGGCGAGGCCGAAAGGCGUAGUCGAUGGGAAACAGGUUAAUAUUCCUGUACUUGGUGUUACUGCGAAGGGGGGACGGAGAAGGCUAUGUUGGCCGGGCGACGGUUGUCCCGGUUUAAGCGUGUAGGCUGGUUUUCCAGGCAAAUCCGGAAAAUCAAGGCUGAGGCGUGAUGACGAGGCACUACGGUGCUGAAGCGACAAAUGCCCUGCUUCCAGGAAAAGCCUCUAAGCAUCAGGUAACAUCAAAUCGUACCCCAAACCGACACAGGUGGUCAGGUAGAGAAUACCAAGGCGCUUGAGAGAACUCGGGUGAAGGAACUAGGCAAAAUGGUGCCGUAACUUCGGGAGAAGGCACGCUGAUAUGUAGGUGAAGUCCCUCGCGGAUGGAGCUGAAAUCAGUCGAAGAUACCAGCUGGCUGCAACUGUUUAUUAAAAACACAGCACUGUGCAAACACGAAAGUGGACGUAUACGGUGUGACGCCUGCCCGGUGCCGGAAGGUUAAUUGAUGGGGUCAGCGCAAGCGAAGCUCUUGAUCGAAGCCCCGGUAAACGGCGGCCGUAACUAUAACGGUCCUAAGGUAGCGAAAUUCCUUGUCGGGUAAGUUCCGACCUGCACGAAUGGCGUAAUGAUGGCCAGGCUGUCUCCACCCGAGACUCAGUGAAAUUGAACUCGCUGUGAAGAUGCAGUGUACCCGCGGCAAGACGGAAAGACCCCGUGAACCUUUACUAUAGCUUGACACUGAACAUUGAGCCUUGAUGUGUAGGAUAGGUGGGAGGCUUUGAAGUGUGGACGCCAGUCUGCAUGGAGCCGACCUUGAAAUACCACCCUUUAAUGUUUGAUGUUCUAACGUGGACCCGUGAUCCGGGUUGCGGACAGUGUCUGGUGGGUAGUUUGACUGGGGCGGUCUCCUCCUAAAGAGUAACGGAGGAGCACGAAGGUUGGCUAAUCCUGGUCGGACAUCAGGAGGUUAGUGCAAUGGCAUAAGCCAGCUUGACUGCGAGCGUGACAGCGCGAGCAGGUGCGAAAGCAGGUCAUAGUGAUCCGGUGGUUCUGAAUGGAAGGGCCAUCGCUCAACGGAUAAAAGGUACUCCGGGGAUAACAGGCUGAUACCGCCCAAGAGUUCAUAUCGACGGCGGUGUUUGGCACCUCGAUGUCGGCUCAUCACAUCCUGGGGCUGAAGUAGGUCCCAAGGGUAUGGCUGUUCGCCAUUUAAAGUGGUACGCGAGCUGGGUUUAGAACGUCGUGAGACAGUUCGGUCCCUAUCUGCCGUGGGCGCUGGAGAACUGAGGGGGGCUGCUCCUAGUA
rnacentral:rRNA from 1 species